rnacentral:misc_RNA from 1 species
ACGAAUUACCAUUCGGUCUUCUGUGCUGGUGGCAACACAUGUGCACGUCGAUCGUAAUUCCAUUCUCCUUUCAAUCGUCCAAGUGUGUUUGGUCGGCCCUCUGCGGUCGAAGAAUCCUGUCGCCGUCAGGCUCUCGAUUCGUUCCGAAUGCACCUUGGUUUUUCACCCACUCUGGGUACUAGAAACAAAGAAAACAAACCGUAUAUAAACUAUA